GCCGCUGUAGCUCAGUUGGUAGAGCAAAGGACUGAAAAUCCUUGUGUCAAGGGUUCGAUUCCCUUUGGCGGCACAA
rnacentral:tRNA from 1 species